UACGUAGGGUGCAAGCGUUGUCCGGAAUUAUUGGGCGUAAAGAGCUCGUAGGCGGUCUGUCGCGUCGGAUGUGAAAAUCCAGGGCUUAACCCUGGACCUGCAUUCGAUACGGGGCAGACUAGAGUUCGGUAGGGGAGACUGGAAUUCCUGGUGUAGCGGUGAAAUGCGCAGAUAUCAGGAGGAACACCGGUGGCGAAGGCGGGUCUCUGGGCCGAUACUGACGUGAGGAGCGAAAGCGUGGGGAGCGAACAGG
rnacentral:rRNA from 1 species